AUAACCGAGAGGGUAGAAGUACAAUCUGCUCUCCUGCGCGGUCAAAGUCUUGGGAGGAUGCGAUCUAGGCGCGAUUUUCGCUGCCGCCGGACAACGGAAAACAGAUCGGACGCGUUUAAUUGCAAGGCCUCGUGCCUUGCAUUUUUUU
rnacentral:sRNA from 1 species